rnacentral:rRNA from 1 species
GAUGAACGCUGGCGGCAUGCUUUACACAUGCAAGUCGGACGGUAAGUGGUGUUUCCAGUGGCGGCCGGGUGAGUAACGCGUAAGAACCUGCCCUUGGGAGGGGAACAACAGCUGGAAACGGCUGCUAAUACCCCGUAGGCUGAGUAGCGAAAGGAGGAAUCCGCCCAAGGAGGGGCUCGCGUCUGAUUAGCUAGUUGGUGAGGUAAUAGCUUACCAAGGCCGUGAGCAGUAGCUGGUCCGAGAGGAUGAUCAGCCACACUGGGACUGAGACAAGGCCCAGACGUCGACGGGAGGCAGCAGGAGGGAAACUUCGGCAAUGGAAGAAAGUCUGACCGAGCAACGCCGCGGGAGUGAAGAAGGUUUUCGGAUCGGAAAACUCUGUUGGUAGAGAAGAACGAUGAGGAGAGUGGAAAGCUCAUCAAGUGACGGUAACUACCCAGAAAGGGACGGCUAACUACGUG